GAAUGACGGUUACUCAGACAGGUCAGAAGC
rnacentral:piRNA from 1 species